UACAACCGAAAUUCUUUUUUUUCUCUCUGAGCAAUGCUAUAUUUUCACACAUUCAUAAUUAAUAACACAUUCAAAGCUGGAAAUUACUGCCCGUCAUCAGACACAUAUGAUCAAAAUUGCCAAAUGCCCACCUGCCAAUCAGAUAUUGUCCAGCAAAUUGUGUGACAUGCUCAAACUUCCAUGUAUGUUCUUGGCCAGUAUAUAACAAAAUAUUUCAUACAAAACUUUGGAAGCAGGUAGUUUUUUUUUUCUUUGAAGGGGGGGGGGGGGGGUAUAAAACCUGGAGCUCCUUCAGACCCUCCUACCAAUCAUCUUUCUACUAUCUUUUUCUUCCAGACCAUAUUCACCAGAUUUGAACCCAAUAGAAGGAUGCUUUGGUACUGCAAAGAAAUGGAUGCUCAGGCACAGGCAUAUGGCAGAAAGAUACCCCAAAAGAUGUUUUGAAAUGGCACUGUUUAAUCUUUCCUCCGAAGUUUGCAGAAACUAUGUCCUUGACUGUGGAUACGUUUAGCGUGCAUAGAACUCAACAAGAAAUGUAAACUACCCUUUUAUAAUAUGUAUAAUGUUGUAUUAUGUAUGAUUGCGUGACGUUGUAUGACGUCAUGGUUUUGAGAUAAUAAAGUCACUUAGCACUU